UGCUCUCAUCGUCUUCUUCCUUGAGAGAGGCGAUUUGUUGAUUCACUCCCGACGAAAUCAAGUUCAAGAGAAGAAUCAAUCAAUCUCUUGCGAGGAGAGAUCCACAGUCUCUUGAUAAGUUCUCUUCGCUUAUUUUUAUAUGAGUUUCUAGAUCUUUCUUUGCCUUUUUUGAUUUUUUCCCGUUUUAGGGUUUUCAAUUUCGAUUGUAUUGACUGACUCUGUUUUGUUCUUUUCAUCCUUUAGCGACGAUCAACCACUUCCCAGUUCCCAUGAAAUCGCCAUCUCUAGGGUUUUUGUUUCUCCGUGUUUCAUUCGGGGGAUGAAGUUGAUCAAGCCUUUGCCCGAGGGUGUUCAUCACUCCAUGCGUUCUGGAAUUAUUAGGAACCCGUGGUUCAACAGUCUCGAUGCUGGUGCGACCAAGGUUGUGGAUGAUGGAUCAGGCGUUUCCCAGAGAUGAUUUGGUUUUGUUGGGAAAAAGAUACACCACUUCAAAGUUUCAUGAUUUGGAGUCAGCCAGUGAAAAUUUUGGAUUCCGUGGAGGGGCGUUAGCUUCAGCUUCGAUAUCAGAUAAUCUCGUUACUGGAAAUCAGGACAAAAGCUAUUGGGAAGCCUAAUGGUUAUCGAAAGUUGUUCUCGGGUUUCUGAAGAUCGUCAUAAGAGUUUCAGGUUAUUCUUUAGCUCCCUUUGCAGUUUGCAUGCAGUUGUCGGGGCUUUUGUCUGUUUUCUUCAAGUGUAGCCGUGUUACCAUGUAGAUGACUAGGUGACUCGAAUUUUAUUUUUGAAGAUCGUAUAGCUGGUUGGGGUUGUCAUUUCUAUUUUGAUUAAUUUAUAUAUGAUGUUUACAUUGUUGAAAGAGCAAACUAUUUUUUCUCUAACUAGUGUGGAAUGAUUAUUACAAUGAGUGUUUUUUGUC